UUCCAGACUCCUACGGGAGGCAGCAGUGGGGAAUAUUGCACAAUGGGGGAAACCCUGAUGCAGCGACGCCGCGUGAGCGAUGAAGUAUUUCGGUAUGUAAAGCUCUAUCAGCAGGGAAGAAGAUGACGGUACCUGACUAAGAAGCCCCGGCUAACUACGUGCCAGCAGCCGCGGUAAUACGUAGGGGGCAAGCGUUAUCCGGAUUUACUGGGUGUAAAGGGAGCGUAGACGGCGGCGCAAGCCAGAUGUGAAAGCCCGGGGCUCAACUCCGGGACUGCAUUUGGAACUGUGUGGCUGGAGUGUCGGAGAGGCAGGCGGAAUUCCUAGUGUAGCGGUGAAAUGCGUAGAUAUUAGGAGGAACACCAGUGGCGAAGGCGGCCUGCUGGACGAUGACUGACGUUGAGGCUCGAAAGCGUGGGGAGCAAACAGGAUUAGAUACCCCGGUA
rnacentral:rRNA from 1 species